rnacentral:rRNA from 1 species
AGAGUUUGAUCCUGGCUCAGGAUGAACGCUGGCGGCGUGCCUAACACAUGCAAGUCGAGCGAAGCACUUCAUUAGAACUCUUCGGAGGGACGAGGAAGUGACUGAGCGGCGGACGGGUGAGUAACGCGUGGGCAACCUGCCUUACACAGGGGGAUAACAGUUAGAAAUGACUGCUAAUACCGCAUAAGACCACAUUGCCGCAUGGCAGGGUGGUAAAAACUCCGGUGGUGUAAGAUGGGCCCGCGUCUGAUUAGGUAGUUGGCAGGGUAGAGGCCUACCAAGCCUACGAUCAGUAGCCGGCCUGAGAGGGUGGACGGCCACAUUGGGACUGAGACACGGCCCAAACUCCUACGGGAGGCAGCAGUGGGGAAUAUUGCACAAUGGGGGAAACCCUGAUGCAGCGGCGCCGCGUGAGUGAGGAAGUAUUUCGGUAUGUAAAGCUCUAUCAGCAGGGAGGAAAAUGACGGUACCUGACUAAGAAGCCCCGGCUAACUACGUG